AUUGAACGCUGGCGGCAGGCCUAACACAUGCAAGUCGAGCGGAUGAAGGGAGCUUGCUCCUGGAUUCAGCGGCGGACGGGUGAGUAAUGCCUAGGAAUCUGCCUGGUAGUGGGGGAUAACGUCCGGAAACGGGCGCUAAUACCGCAUACGUCCUGAGGGAGAAAGUGGGGGAUCUUCGGACCUCACGCUAUCAGAUGAGCCUAGGUCGGAUUAGCUAGUUGGUGGGGUAAAGGCCUACCAAGGCGACGAUCCGUAACUGGUCUGAGAGGAUGAUCAGUCACACUGGAACUGAGACACGGUCCAGACUCCUACGGGAGGCAGCAGUGGGGAAUAUUGGACAAUGGGCGAAAGCCUGAUCCAGCCAUGCCGCGUGUGUGAAGAAGGUCUUCGGAUUGUAAAGCACUUUAAGUUGGGAGGAAGGGCAGUAAGUUAAGACCUUGCUGUUUUGACGUGACCAACAGAAUAAGCACCGGCUAACUUCGU
rnacentral:rRNA from 1 species